AUGAGACGAGUGAAUCCAGGAGAGAAUGUGACCCUUCAGUGUGACCUCACUGAUCCUCGUAUUCACUGGUACAGACAGAGCCCAGGACAGCUGCCCCUGGGCAUCGUGUACAUCCUGUCAUCCACAUAUACAGACGCAUGGUACUUCAAUGGCUUCGGACAUCAUUACUCUCUGGCAGCUCAUAACAGGCUGUUCAUCCACAAUGUUACAGCAGAAGAUUCUGGGAUAUACUACUGCGCCAGGAAGGAGGGCGACACUCUUACUUUCCACAGUGGAAUAGAGCUGAAUGUCGCAGGUGUUUAUUCCAACAGAGAUGAAGGUAAGAAAUAA